GACGGAGGAUGCAAGUGUUAUCCGGAAUCACUGGGCGUAAAGCGUCUGUAGGUGGUUUAGUAAGUCGAAUGUUAAAUCUUGAAGCUUAACUUCGAAAUCGCAUUCGAAACUAUGAGACUUGAGUAUAGUAGAGGUAAAGGGAAUUUCCAGUGGAGCGGUGAAAUGCGUAGAUAUUGGAAAGAACACCAAUUGCGAAGGCACUUUACUGGGCUAUUACUGACACUCAGAGACGAAAGCUAGGGUAGCAAAUGGGAUUAGAUACCCCAGUAGUCCUAGCCGUAAACAAUGGAUACUAGAUGUUGAACAGUCGCUGCAGUAUCAAAUCUAACGCGUUAAGUAUCCCGCCUGGGAAGUAUGCUCGCCAGAGUG
rnacentral:rRNA from 1 species